rnacentral:rRNA from 1 species
UACGUAGGUCCCGAGCGUUGUCCGGAUUUAUUGGGCGUAAAGCGAGCGCAGGUGGUUUAUUAAGUCUGGUGUAAAAGGCAGUGGCUCAACCACUGUAUGCAUUGGAAACUGGUAGACUUGAGUGCAGGAGAGGAGAGUGGAAUUCCAUGUGUAGCGGUGAAAUGCGUAGAUAUAUGGAGGAACACCGGUGGCGAAAGCGGCUCUCUGGCCUGUAACUGACACUGAGGCUCGAAAGCGCGGGGAGCAAACAGG